rnacentral:rRNA from 1 species
CAGUAGCCGCGGGAAUACGUAGGUGGCAAGCGUUGUCCGGAAUUAUUGGGCGUAAAGGGCUCGCAGGCGGUUUCUUAAGUCUGAUGUGAAAGCCCCCGGCUCAACCGGGGAGGGUCAUUGGAAGCUGGGAAACUUGAGUGCAGAAGAGGAGAGUGGAAUUCCACGUGUAGCGGUGAAAUGCGUAGAGAUGUGGAGGAACACCAGUGGCGAAGGCGACUCUCUGGUCUGUAACUGACGCUGAGGAGCGAAAGCGUGGGGAGCGGACAGGAUUAGAUACCCCCGUAGUCCCUGUCUCUUAUAC